UACGUAGGGUGCAAGCGUUGUCCGGAAUUAUUGGGCGUAAAGAGCUCGUAGGCGGUUUGUCGCGUCGAAUGUGAAAACCCGGGGCUCAACCCCGGGCCUGCAUUCGAUACGGGCAGACUAGAGUUCGGUAGGGGAGUCUGGAAUUCCUGGUGUAGCGGUGAAAUGCGCAGAUAUCAGGAGGAACACCGGUGGCGAAGGCGGGUCUCUGGACAGUUCCUGACACUGAGGCACGAAGGCCAGGGGAGCAAACGGG
rnacentral:rRNA from 1 species